GCCUGGGUGGCUCAGUCGGUUAAGCGUCUGACUUCAGCUCAGGUCAUGAUCUCACAGUCUGUGAGUUCGAGCCCCAUGUCAGGCU
rnacentral:tRNA from 1 species